CCUGCUUCCAGGAAAAGCCUCUAAGCAUCAGGUAACAUCAAAUCGUACCCCAAACCGACACAGGUGGUCAGGUAGAGAAUACCAAGGCGCUUGAGAGAACUCGGGUGAAGGAACUAGGCAAAAUGGUGCCGUAACUUCGGGAGAAGGCACGCUGAUAUGUAGGUGAGGUCCCUCGCGGAUGGAGCUGAAAUCAGUCGAAGAUACCAGCUGGCUGCAACUGUUUAUUAAAAACACAGCACUGUGCAAACACGAAAGUGGACGUAUACGGUGUGACGCCUGCCCGGUGCCGGAAGGUUAAUUGAUGGGGUUAGCGCAAGCGAAGCUCUUGAUCGAAGCCCCGGUAAACGGCGGCCGUAACUAUAACGGUCCUAAGGUAGCGAAAUUCCUUGUCGGGCAAGUUCCGACCUGCACGAAUGGCGUAAUGAUGGCCAGGCUGUCUCCACCCGAGACUCAGUGAAAUUGAACUCGCUGUGAAGAUGCAGUGUACCCGCGGCAAGACGGAAAGACCCCGUGAACCUUUACUAUAGCUUGACACUGAACAUUGAGCCUUGAUGUGUAGGAUAGGUGGGAGGCUUGGAAGUGUGGACGCCAGUCUGCAUGGAGCCGACCUUGAAAUACCACCCUUUAAUGUUUGAUGUUCUAACGUUGACCCGUAAUCCGGGUUGCGGACAGUGUCUGGUGGGUAGUUUGACUGGGGCGGUCUCCUCCUAAAGAGUAACGGAGGAGCACGAAGGUUGGCUAAUCCUGGUCGGACAUCAGGAGGUUAGUGCAAUGGCAUAAGCCAGCUUGACUGCGAGCGUGACGGCGCGAGCAGGUGCGAAAGCAGGUCAUAGUGAUCCGGUGGUUCUGAAUGGAAGGGCCAUCGCUCAACGGAUAAAAGGUACUCCGGGGAUAACAGGCUGAUACCGCCCAAGAGUUCAUAUCGACGGCGGUGUUUGGCACCUCGAUGUCGGCUCAUCACAUCCUGGGGCUGAAGUAGGUCCCAAGGGUAUGGCUGUUCGCCAUUUAAAGUGGUACGCGAGCUGGGUUUAGAACGUCGUGAGACAGUUCGGUCCCUAUCUGCCGUGGGCGCUGGAGAACUGAGGGGGGCUGCUCCUAGUACGAGAGGACCGGAGUGGACGCAUCACUGGUGUUCGGGUUGUCAUGCCAAUGGCACUGCCCGGUAGCUAAAUGCGGAAGAGAUAAGUGCUGAAAGCAUCUAAGCACGAAACUUGCCCCGAGAUGAGUUCUCCCUGACUCUUUGAGAGUCCUGAAGGAACGUUGAAGACGACGACGUUGAUAGGCCGGGUGUGUAAGCGCAGCGAUGCGUUGAGCUAACCGGUACUAAUGAACCGUGAGGCUUAACCU
rnacentral:rRNA from 1 species